AAUGAACGCUGGCGGCAUGCCUAACACAUGCAAGUCGAACGGACACACGAGGAGCUUUCUCCUCUAACGGUGGCGGGGGGCGGAUGGGUAAGAAGUGGAUCACCUACCUAUAAGUCUGGGAUAACAUCGUGAAACCAGAGCUAAUACCAGCUAAUAUAUUCAACGGGAGAGAGCACUGGAGAAUGAGGCCUUUGGUGUUUCUAUUAGCUGAUUUCGGGCCGGAUAAGUGAGUUGGUAAGGUCAAGGCCUACCAAGGCGACGAUGCGUAGCGGAUCUGAGAGGAUGAUCAGCCACACUGGAACUGAGACACGGUCCAGACUCCUAAGGGAGGCAGCAGGGGGGAAUAUUGGACAAUGGGCGCAAGCCUGAUCCAGCCAUACCGCGUGGGUGAAGAAGGCCUUCGGGUUGUAAAACCCUUUUGUUGGGAAAGAAAAGAAGCUGGUUAAUACCACGCUGUUCUGACGGUACCCAAAGAAUAAGCACCGGCUAACUUCGUG
rnacentral:rRNA from 1 species